rnacentral:rRNA from 1 species
CAGCCGCCGCGGGAACACAGAGGGUGCGAGCGUUAAUCGGAUUUACUGGGCGUAAAGCGUGCGUAGGCGGCUUUUUAAGUCGGAUGUGAAAUCCCUGAGCUUAACUUAGGAAUUGCAUUCGAUACUGGGAAGCUAGAGUAUGGGAGAGGAUGGUAGAAUUCCAGGUGUAGCGGUGAAAUGCGUAGAGAUCUGGAGGAAUACCGAUGGCGAAGGCAGCCAUCUGGCCUAAUACUGACGCUGAGGUACGAAAGCAUGGGGAGCAAACAGGAUUAGAUACCCCGGUAGUCCCUGUCUCUUAUAC